AGUAAACGGCGGCCGUAACUAUAACGGUCCUAAGGUAGCGAAAUUCCUUGUCGGGCAAGUUCCGACCUGCACGAAUGGCAUAACGAUGGCCACACUGUCUCCUCCUGAGACUCAGUGAAGUUGAAGUGUUUGUGAUGAUGCAAUCUCCCCGCGGCUAGACGGAAAGACCCCAUGAACCUUUACUGUAGCUUUGCAUUGGACUUUGAACCGAUCUGUGUAGGAUAGGCGGGAGCCUGUGAAACCACAACGCCAGUUGUGGCGGAGGCGUCCUUGAAAUACCGCCCUGAUUUGUUUGAGGUUCUAACCUGGGACAGUCAUCCUGUCCGGGGACCGUGCAUGGUAGGCAGUUUGACUGGGGCGGUCUCCUCCUAAAGGGUAACGGAGGAGUGCGAAGGUACGCUAGGUACGGUCGGAAAUCGUGCUGAUAGUGCAAUGGCAAAAGCGUGCUUGACUGCGAGACCCACAAGUCGAGCAGAUACGAAAGUAGGUCAUAGUGAUCCGGUGGCUCUGUAUGGAAGGGCCAUCGCUCAACGGAUAAAAGGUACUCUGGGGAUAACAGGCUGAUACCGCCCAAGAGUUCAUAUCGACGGCGGUGUUUGGCACCUCGAUGUCGGCUCAUCUCAUCCUGGGGCUGUAGCCGGUCCCAAGGGUAUGGCUGUUCGCCAUUUAAAGUGGUACGCGAGCUGGGUUUAAAACGUCGUGAGACAGUUUUGUCCCUAUCUGCCGUGGGCGCUGGAAGAUUGACGGGGGCUGCUCCUAGUACGAGAGGACCGGAGUGGACUCACCUCUGGUGUACCGGUUGUCACGCCAGUGGCAUCGCCGGGUAGCUAUGUGGGGAAGAGAUAACCGCUGAAAGCAUCUAAGCGGGAAACUUGCCUGAAGAUAAGUCUUCCUGGAGGCUAGACCUCCCUAAAGAGUCGUUCGAGACCAGGACGUUGAUAGGAUGGGUGUGUAAGUGCUGUGAGGCACUCAGCUAACCAUUACUAAUUGCUCGUGAAGCUUGAUCCU
rnacentral:rRNA from 1 species